AUUUAAGAAGUUUUAUAAUAUUGAUUUGUGGUAUCAAAGAUGUGGCUUUCACCUUAAAUA
rnacentral:tRNA from 1 species